rnacentral:rRNA from 1 species
AGAGUUUGAUCAUGGCUCAGAACGAACGCUUGCUGCAUGCUUUAUACAUGCAAGUCGAACGAAGGCCCUAGCUUGCUAGGUGUCCUUAGUGGCGCACGGGUGAGUAACACGUGGGAACAUACCUUAUAGUACGGAAUAACUGCGGGAAACUGUAGCUAAUACCGUAUAUUCCAGCAAUGGGGAAAGAUUUAUCGCUAUAAGAUUGGCCCGCGCAAGAUUAGCUUGUUGGUGAGGUAAAAGCUCACCAAGGCUUCGAUCUUUAGCUGGUUUGAGAGGAUGAUCAGCCACACUGGGACUGAGACACGGCCCAGACUCCUACGGGAGGCAGCAGUAGGGAAUAUUGGACAAUGGGGGCAACCCUGAUCCAGCAAUGCAGCGUGAGUGACGAAGGCCUUAGGGUUGUAAAACUCUUUCAUCGGUGAGGAUAAUGACAGUAGCCGAAGAAGAAGGACCGGCUAAUUCCGUGCCAGCAGCCGCGGUAAUACGGAAGGUCCUAGCGUUGUUCGGAAUUACUGGGCGUAAAGCGCAUGUAGGCGGAACAGAAAGUUAGAAGUGAAAUCCCUGGGCUCAACCUAGGAAUUGCUUUUAAAACUUCUGUUCUGGAAUUCAGGAGAGGAAAAUGGAAUUUCCAGUGUAGAGGUGAAAUUCGUAGAUAUUGGAAGGAACACCAGUGGCGAAGGCGAUUUUCUGGACUGAUAUUGACGCUGAGAUGCGAAGGCAUGGGUAGCAAACGGGAUUAGAUACCCCGGUAGUCCAUGCAGUAAACGAUGGGUGCUAGUCGUCGGACUUUUGUUCGGUGUCGUAGCUAACGCGUUAAGCACCCCGCCUGGGGAGUACGGUCGCAAGA